rnacentral:rRNA from 1 species
UACGUAGGGUGCAAGCGUUAAUCGGAAUUACUGGGCGUAAAGCGUGCGCAGGCGGUUCUAUAAGACAGAUGUGAAAUCCCCGGGCUCAACCUGGGACUGUAUUUGUGACUGUAGAGCUGGAGUACGGCAGAGGGGGAUGGAAUUCCGCGUGUAGCAGUGAAAUGCGUAGAUAUGCGGAGGAACACCGAUGGCGAAGGCAAUCCCCUGGGCCUGUACUGACGCUCAUGCACGAAAGCAUGGGGAGCAAACAGG